UACGGGGGGAGCAAGCGUUGUUCGGAUUUACUGGGCGUAAAGGGCGGGUAGGCGGCCACCGCAAGUCAGUUGUGAAAUCUCUGGGCUUAACCCAGAGGCUGCUUCCGAAACUGCUGUGCUUGAGUGUGGGAGAGGCGCGUGGAAUUGCAGGUGUAGCGGUGAAAUGCGUAGAUAUCUGCAGGAACACCCGUGGCGAAAGCGGCGCGCUGGACCACUACUGACGCUGAGGAACGAAAGCUAGGGGAGCAAACAGG
rnacentral:rRNA from 1 species